rnacentral:lncRNA from 1 species
AACUACAGAGGGAAAGAAAUCCUAUCAGAAAUCUAAAGGAGUUCGGUGCUACAGAAACUAAAAAAAUAUUUAAAAAGUGAAAAAAAAGCAAUGAUGAAGGGUGGAAGCAAAAGUCAAAGCCCGGUGCAGAAAGCUUCUUAGUAUAAACAGAAGCAGCUGGGGGGAGGGGCGCUAGCCCGGCCAGUCGACCUAGGAAGCUCCAACUCGUACUCUGGAGGAACCCCCUACUGAAUCCUAAUCAGUGAGAGUUCCUCCAGAGUCAGAGAGCUGGAGAUGGUAUUCAGUACAAAGAUCGGAUGAGGUUCAUCUAUAGAACUAAGAUUCUAGGGGGCUGGAGCGGACAAACUUCUAGAACUGCUAG